AGAGAGAGACAUGCGCGCAUAUCAAUAAGCGGAGGAAAAGAAACUAACAAGGAUUCCCUUAGUAACGGCGAGUGAAGCGGGAAGAGCUCAAAUUUGAAAUCUUCAAGGUUUUACCUUGACGAAUUGUAGUUUAAAGAAGUGUUUUCUGCUGAAGUUUUGGUAAAAGUUCUUUGGAAUAGGACAUCAUAGAGGGUGAGAAUCCCGUAUUUGACCAUUAUUUCAGCUUUGUGAUACACUUUCAAAGAGUCGGAUUGUUUGGGAAUGCAGUCCAAAAUGGGUGGUAAAUUUCAUCUAAAGCUAAAUAUUGGCGAGAGACCGAUAGCGAACAAGUACCGUGAGGGAAAGAUGAAAAGAACUUUGAAAAGAGAGUUAAACAGUACGUGAAAUUGUCAAAAGGGAAGCGUUUGACACCAGUGUUGUUUUCUCGAAAAUCAAUUAAAAAUGGCUCGAUUUUGUAUUGCUUGAGACCUUAAAAGCUCACUGUACAUUUUUCGUGUCUUUUUUAAUGCACUUUUCGUUUAACAAGUCAACAUCAGUUUCUUUUGUUGUAAAAGGGUCAUUGGAAGGUGGCUUUCUUUUCGGAGAAAGUGUUUAUAGCCUUUGGCCUCUGCGAUCGAAGAGACUGAGGUCUGCAGCGUAGACUCUUCGGGGUUAGAUACAUUUGUGCUAAGUUAUAGCUUUUUAUAGACAACUUGUUGACUAUAAUUAGUCUUGUAGCUUACUCGCUUAUGCUAUUUUACCUACGCUUAGGAUGUUGAAGUCAUCGUAUCGCGC
rnacentral:rRNA from 1 species